rfam:Myotis davidii contig316166, whole genome shotgun sequence.
GGUGGUUCUCGGGGGAUGCACCCAGGAAUCGGGCUCUCUCCUCUCUGGUUCCAGGUGUGUCACAUAAGAACCGCA